AGUGCGCCGCUUCCCUCGCCGCCGCCCCGCCAGCAUGCCCGGCGUGGCCCGCCUGCCGCUGCUGCUCGGGCUGCUGCUGCUCCCGCGUCCCGGCCGGCCGCUGGACUUGGCCGACUACACCUAUGACCUGGCGGAGGAGGACGACUCGGAGCCCCUCAACUACAAAGACCCCUGCAAGGCGGCUGCCUUUCUUGGGGACAUUGCCCUGGACGAAGAGGACCUGAGGGCCUUCCAGGUACAGCAGGCUGUGGAUCUCAGACGGCACACAGCUCGUAAGUCCUCCAUCAAAGCUGCAGUUCCAGGAAACACUUCUACCCCCAGCUGCCAGAGCACCAACGGGCAGCCUCAGAGGGGAGCCUGUGGGAGAUGGAGAGGUAGAUCCCGUAGCCGGCGGGCGGCGACGUCCCGACCAGAGCGUGUGUGGCCCGAUGGGGUCAUCCCCUUUGUCAUUGGGGGAAACUUCACUGGUAGCCAGAGGGCAGUCUUCCGGCAGGCCAUGAGGCACUGGGAGAAGCACACCUGUGUCACCUUCCUGGAGCGCACUGACGAGGACAGCUAUAUUGUGUUCACCUAUCGACCUUGCGGCUCGGGACCGCCCCCCUGAGCUGGCCCCGCCCUCCAGGUGCUGCUCCUACGUGGGUCGCCGCGGCGGGGGCCCCCAGGCCAUCUCCAUCGGCAAGAACUGUGACAAGUUCGGCAUUGUGGUCCACGAGCUGGGCCACGUCGUCGGCUUCUGGCACGAACACACUCGGCCAGACCGGGACCGCCACGUUUCCAUCGUUCGUGAGAACAUCCAGCCAGGGCAGGAGUAUAACUUCCUGAAGAUGGAGCCUCAGGAGGUGGAGUCCCUGGGGGAGACCUAUGACUUCGACAGCAUCAUGCAUUACGCUCGGAACACAUUCUCCAGGGGCAUCUUCCUGGAUACCAUUGUCCCCAAGUAUGAGGUGAACGGGGUGAAACCUCCCAUUGGCCAAAGGACACGGCUCAGCAAGGGGGACAUUGCCCAAGCCCGCAAGCUUUACAAGUGCCCAGCCUGUGGAGAGACCCUGCAAGACAGCACAGGCAACUUCUCCUCCCCUGAAUACCCCAAUGGCUACUCUGCUCACAUGCACUGCGUGUGGCGCAUCUCUGUCACACCCGGGGAGAAGAUCAUCCUGAACUUCACGUCCCUGGACCUGUACCGCAGCCGCCUGUGCUGGUACGACUAUGUGGAGGUCCGAGAUGGCUUCUGGAGGAAGGCGCCCCUCCGAGGCCGCUUCUGCGGGUCCAAACUCCCUGAGCCUAUCGUCUCCACUGACAGCCGCCUCUGGGUUGAAUUCCGCAGCAGCAGCAAUUGGGUUGGAAAGGGCUUCUUUGCAGUCUACGAAGCCAUCUGCGGGGGUGAUGUGAAAAAGGACUAUGGCCACAUUCAAUCGCCCAACUACCCAGACGAUUACCGGCCCAGCAAAGUCUGCAUCUGGCGGAUCCAGGUGUCUGAGGGCUUCCACGUGGGCCUCACAUUCCAGUCCUUUGAGAUUGAGCGCCACGACAGCUGUGCCUACGACUAUCUGGAGGUGCGCGACGGGCACAGUGAGAGCAGCACCCUCAUCGGGCGCUACUGUGGCUAUGAGAAGCCUGAUGACAUCAAGAGCACGUCCAGCCGCCUCUGGCUCAAGUUCGUCUCUGACGGGUCCAUUAACAAAGCGGGCUUUGCCGUCAACUUUUUCAAAGAGGUGGACGAGUGCUCUCGGCCCAACCGCGGGGGCUGUGAGCAGCGGUGCCUCAACACCCUGGGCAGCUACAAGUGCAGCUGUGACCCCGGGUACGAGCUGGCCCCAGACAAGCGCCGCUGUGAGGCUGCUUGUGGCGGAUUCCUCACCAAGCUCAACGGCUCCAUCACCAGCCCGGGCUGGCCCAAGGAGUACCCCCCCAACAAGAACUGCAUCUGGCAGCUGGUGGCCCCCACCCAGUACCGCAUCUCCCUGCAGUUUGACUUCUUUGAGACAGAGGGCAAUGAUGUGUGCAAGUACGACUUCGUGGAGGUGCGCAGUGGACUCACAGCUGACUCCAAGCUGCAUGGCAAGUUCUGUGGUUCUGAGAAGCCCGAGGUCAUCACCUCCCAGUACAACAACAUGCGCGUGGAGUUCAAGUCCGACAACACCGUGUCCAAAAAGGGCUUCAAGGCCCACUUCUUCUCAGACAAGGACGAGUGCUCCAAGGAUAACGGCGGCUGCCAGCAGGACUGCGUCAACACGUUCGGCAGUUAUGAGUGCCAAUGCCGCAGUGGCUUCGUCCUCCAUGACAACAAGCACGACUGCAAAGAAGCCGGCUGUGACCACAAGGUGACAUCCACCAGUGGUACCAUCACCAGCCCCAACUGGCCUGACAAGUAUCCCAGCAAGAAGGAGUGCACGUGGGCCAUCUCCAGCACCCCCGGGCACCGGGUCAAGCUGACCUUCAUGGAGAUGGACAUCGAGUCCCAGCCUGAGUGUGCCUACGACCACCUAGAGGUGUUCGACGGGCGAGACGCCAAGGCCCCCGUCCUCGGCCGCUUCUGUGGGAGCAAGAAGCCCGAGCCCGUCCUGGCCACAGGCAGCCGCAUGUUCCUGCGCUUCUACUCAGAUAACUCGGUCCAGCGAAAGGGCUUCCAGGCCUCCCACGCCACAGAGUGCGGGGGCCAGGUACGGGCAGACGUGAAGACCAAGGACCUUUACUCCCACGCCCAGUUUGGCGACAACAACUACCCUGGGGGUGUGGACUGUGAGUGGGUCAUUGUGGCCGAGGAAGGCUACGGCGUGGAGCUCGUGUUCCAGACCUUUGAGGUGGAGGAGGAGACCGACUGCGGCUAUGACUACAUGGAGCUCUUCGACGGCUACGACAGCACAGCCCCCAGGCUGGGGCGCUACUGUGGCUCAGGGCCUCCUGAGGAGGUGUACUCGGCGGGAGAUUCUGUCCUGGUGAAGUUCCACUCGGAUGACACCAUCACCAAAAAAGGUUUCCACCUGCGAUACACCAGCACCAAGUUCCAGGACACACUCCACAGCAGGAAGUGACCACUGCCUGAGCAGGGGCGGGGACUGGAGCCUGCUGCCCUUGGUCGCCUAGACUGGAUAGUGGGGGUGGGCGGAAGGCAACGCACCAUCCCUCUCCCCCAGGCCCCAGGACCUGCAGGGCCAAUGGCCUGGUGAGACUGUCCAUAGGAGGUGGGGGAACUGGACUCCGGCAUAAGCCACUUCCCCACAAACCCCCACCAGCAAGGGGCUGGGGCCAGGGAGCAGAGCUUCCACAAGACAUUUCGAAGUCAUCAUUCCUCUCUUAGGGGGCCCUGCCUGGUGGCAAGAGGGAAUGUCAGCAGGACCCCAUCGCCAUCCCUGUGUCUCUACACGCUGUAUUGUGUAUCACCGGGGGCAUUAUUUUCAUUGUAAUGUUCAUUUCCCACCCCUGCUCCAGCCUCGAUUUGGUUUUAUUUUGAGCCCCCAUUCCACCACCCCAGUUUCCUGGGGCACAAGUGUCUGUGCAUGUCCCCCAGGAGCCACCGUGGGGAGCCGAUGGGGAGGGGAUGGAGAAACAAGACAGGGCUUCUCUCAGGCCCAGUGGCCGGUCAGCCACACCAGGGCACCGCAGCCAAUAAACCGAAAGUGUUACAGCCAA